AACGCAAGUUGCGCCCGAAGCCACCUGGCCGAGGGCACGUCUGCCUGGGUGUCACGCAUCGUUGCCCCCAACCCCAUCGCCCUGCAAAGAGGCGGUGGGGGCAUGCGGGGCGGACAUUGGCCUCCCGUGGGCUGAUGCCUGCGGCUGGCCUAAAAACGAGUCCUCGGCGACGAUCGCCACGACAAUCGGUGGUUGACAAACCUUCGUGACCCGUCGUGCGCGCAUCGCCGCUCAACGCGUGCUCUUUUGACCCUGUCGCGUCGCGCUCGCGACGCUUCCAACGCGACCCCAGGUCAGGCGGGACUACCCGCUGAGUUUAA
rnacentral:misc_RNA from 1 species